AAACACUAUAAAGGAAUACCUCAUCCAAAAGUAAGCUGUUAUUCUAUUUUUUUUUUCGUUAAAAUGCUAUUCUUUGCAUAGAAUUUUGAAGAAACGUCACUUAUAGAUCUGCACUCAGGAAUGUUCCAGAAGUUUUCAAUUAAACAAAUGUAAUUGCAUCUCUGCAAACUUGUCAAGAUUAUAUGAAGAUGCUCCUUGCGAAGCGGAAAGAGGUACGAAACUUGCUUUAUUUGCCGUAUUUUCUUACGAAUACCCCCAGGAAAUUGACAGAAAAAUGAACCUUCGCAUAACCCACGCCUACGAAAGCGGUCGUUGUUCCCUCAACGAAACUCCAUAAUUGCAAUUUAAAAUCGAUACAACCCGCGGGUAAUCCGUACGAAAGUGCGGUAGAUAAUAUAUUAAAUAUAUUGUAAUUGAAAAGUGCGCAUUAAUUCCAAAACAUUUAGGAUUCUGUGCGGACGAAGUAGAAGAGAGAACGAUGGAUUACUGUCGAAGUCUUUGUAGAGUUCCUUGCGUGAGAAAAUCCUACGAAGCAUCUUCAGACUCCGCUUCUUGGCCUAAAAAAAAUAAAAUGAUUUUCUUAAAAGAGUGGGCCAAUCGAACUAUCGAAGAAGCCAAGUAAGUAACACUUACUUUUUCCAAACUAAACUACAAAUACCGUAUUUUUGUGCCGAUAACCUGCAGGUUGUGCGUGUUCAAAAGUUGGAAAGUGCUGAGGGUUAUAAUUCAAUUUUUAAGUUUUAAUCGCAAACUGAUGAUUUUAAGAGCAAUGGCUUCGCCCUCAGGUACUCAGGUGCAGAUUAGGCGAAGCAUUUUGCUCUCGCAAUUUGCUGCAGGGUAUGCACAAAAAUACGGUAAUUACACAUUGUUAGUCAUCAAGUGCUUAAAAUUUUUCAGAAAAAAUUUAAUUCGAAUUAAAAUAUUUCUUCGAACAAUGGAACAUACCAUUUACGAACAUUUUCCGAAAUAUGCGGCAAGUAUAUCCGCCAGUUUUAAAAUUAAUCUAUUUAUAUUUAGAGUGACUUGUACUUUUUAUUUCUAGUCUGUAGAGAUUUUCAGUCAUCUCGGAGGAUACAUAAGCCUUUGGCUGGGAUUUUCGGUGCUUGCUGUAUGGGAAAUUAUGGAAAUGUGCAUGAAAAUCAUUUACAAAAGUUACUAUAACUAAAUUACUUUAAUGCGAUUCAUGACAAUGCGCUUCUAUUAAGUCAAUUAGGUUUGAAUGAUCAUUAA